AGUGAACGCUGGCGGUAGGCCUAACACAUGCAAGUCGAACGGCAGCACAGUAAGAGCCUGCUCUUACGGGUGGCGAGUGGCGGACGGGUGAGGAAUACAUCGGAAUCUACUUUUUCGUGGGGGAUAACGUAGGGAAACUUACGCUAAUACCGCAUACGACCUACGGGUGAAAGCAGGGGAUCUUCGGACCUUGCGCGAUUGAAUGAGCCGAUGUCGGAUUAGUUAGUUGGCGGGGUAAAGGCCCACCAAGGCGACGAUCCGUAGCUGGUCUGAGAGGAUGAUCAGCCACACUGGAACUGAGACACGGUCCAGACUCCUACGGGAGGCAGCAGUGGGGAAUAUUGGACAAUGGGCGCAAGCCUGAUCCAGCCAUACCGCGUGGGUGAAGAAGGCCUUCGGGUUGUAAAGCCCUUUUGUUGGGAAAGAAAAGCAGCAGGUUAAUACCCCGCUGUUCUGACGGUACCCAAAGAAUAAGCACCGGCUAACUUCGUG
rnacentral:rRNA from 1 species